GGUUAAGCGACUAAGCGUACACGGUGGAUGCCCUGGCAGUCAGAGGCGAUGAAGGACGUGCUAAUCUGCGAAAAGCGUCGGUAAGGUGAUAUGAACCGUUACAGCCGGCGAUGUCCGAAUGGGGAAACCCAGUGCAAUUCGUUGCACUAUCGUUAACUGAAUACAUAGGUUAACGAGGCGAACCGGGGGAACUGAAACAUCUAAGUACCCCGAGGAAAAGAAAUCAACCGAGAUUCCCCCAGUAGCGGCGAGCGAACGGGGAGCAGCCCAGAGUCUGAAUCAGCUUGUGUGUUAGUGGAACGGUCUGGAAAGUCCGACGGUACAGGGUGAUAGUCCCGUACACCAAAAUGCACAGGCUGUGAACUCGAAGAGUAGGGCGGGACACGUGGUAUCCUGUCUGAAUAUGGGGGGACCAUCCUCCAAGGCUAAAUACUCCUGACUGACCGAUAGUGAACCAGUACCGUGAGGGAAAGGCGAAAAGAACCCCGGCGAGGGGAGUGAAAAAGAACCUGAAACCGUGUACGUACAAGCAGUGGGAGCACCUUCGGGUGUGACUGCGUACCUUUUGUAUAAUGGGUCAGCGACUUAUAUUCUGUAGCAAGGUUAACCGUAUAGGGGAGCCGCAGGGAAACCGAGUCUUAACUGGGCGUUAAGUUGCAGGGUAUAGACCCGAAACCCGGUGAUCUAGCCAUGGGCAGGUUGAAGGUUGGGUAACACUAACUGGAGGACCGAACCGACUAAUGUUGAAAAAUUAGCGGAUGACUUGUGGCUGGGGGUGAAAGGCCAAUCAAACCGGGAGAUAGCUGGUUCUCCCCGAAAGCUAUUUAGGUAGCGCCUCGUGAAUUCAUCUUCGGGGGUAGAGCACUGUUUCGGCUAGGGGGUCAUCCCGACUUACCAACCCGAUGCAAACUACGAAUACCGAAGAAUGUUAUCACGGGAGACACACGGCGGGUGCUAACGUCCGUCGUGAAGAGGGAAACAACCCAGACCGCCAGCUAAGGUCCCAAAGUCAUGGUUAAGUGGGAAACGAUGUGGGAAGGCACAGACAGCCAGGAUGUUGGCUUAGAAGCAGCCAUCAUUUAAAGAAAGCGUAAUAGCUCACUGGUCGAGUCGGCCUGCGCGGAAGAUGUAACGGGGCUAAACCAUGCACCGAAGCUGCGGCAGCGACACUAUGUGUUGUUGGGUAGGGGAGCGUUCUGUAAGCCUGCGAAGGUGUGCUGUGAGGCAUGCUGGAGGUAUCAGAAGUGCGAAUGCUGACAUAAGUAACGAUAAAGCGGGUGAAAAGCCCGCUCGCCGGAAGACCAAGGGUUCCUGUCCAACGUUAAUCGGGGCAGGGUGAGUCGACCCCUAAGGCGAGGCCGAAAGGCGUAGUCGAUGGGAAACAGGUUAAUAUUCCUGUACUUGGUGUUACUGCGAAGGGGGGACGGAGAAGGCUAUGUUAGCCGGGCGACGGUUGUCCCGGUUUAAGCAUGUAGGCUGAUUGUCCAGGCAAAUCCGGAUAAUCAAGGCUGAGGUGUGAUGACGAGGCACUACGGUGCUGAAGUAACAAAUGCCCUGCUUCCAGGAAAAGCCUCUAAGCAUCAGGUAACAUCAAAUCGUACCCCAAACCGACACAGGUGGUCAGGUAGAGAAUACCAAGGCGCUUGAGAGAACUCGGGUGAAGGAACUAGGCAAAAUGGUGCCGUAACUUCGGGAGAAGGCACGCUGGUGUGUAGGUGAAGUCCCUGCGGAUGGAGCUGAGACCAGUCGAAGAUACCAGCUGGCUGCAACUGUUUAUUAAAAACACAGCACUGUGCAAACACGAAAGUGGACGUAUACGGUGUGACGCCUGCCCGGUGCCGGAAGGUUAAUUGAUGGGGUUAUCCGUAAGGAGAAGCUCUUGAUCGAAGCCCCGGUAAACGGCGGCCGUAACUAUAACGGUCCUAAGGUAGCGAAAUUCCUUGUCGGGUAAGUUCCGACCUGCACGAAUGGCGUAAUGAUGGCCAGGCUGUCUCCACCCGAGACUCAGUGAAAUUGAACUCGCUGUGAAGAUGCAGUGUACCCGCGGCAAGACGGAAAGACCCCGUGAACCUUUACUAUAGCUUGACACUGAACAUUGAGCCUUGAUGUGUAGGAUAGGUGGGAGGCUUUGAAGCGUGGACGCCAGUCUGCGUGGAGCCAACCUUGAAAUACCACCCUUUAAUGUUUGAUGUUCUAACGUUGGCCCCUGACCGGGGUUGCGGACAGUGUCUGGUGGGUAGUUUGACUGGGGCGGUCUCCUCCCAAAGCGUAACGGAGGAGCACGAAGGUUAGCUAAUCCUGGUCGGACAUCAGGAGGUUAGUGCAAUGGCAUAAGCUAGCUUGACUGCGAGCGUGACGGCGCGAGCAGGUGCGAAAGCAGGUCAUAGUGAUCCGGUGGUUCUGAAUGGAAGGGCCAUCGCUCAACGGAUAAAAGGUACUCCGGGGAUAACAGGCUGAUACCGCCCAAGAGUUCAUAUCGACGGCGGUGUUUGGCACCUCGAUGUCGGCUCAUCACAUCCUGGGGCUGAAGUAGGUCCCAAGGGUAUGGCUGUUCGCCAUUUAAAGUGGUACGCGAGCUGGGUUUAGAACGUCGUGAGACAGUUCGGUCCCUAUCUGCCGUGGGCGCUGGAGAAUUGAGGGGGGCUGCUCCUAGUACGAGAGGACCGGAGUGGACGCAUCACUGGUGUUCGGGUUGUCAUGCCAAUGGCACUGCCCGGUAGCUAAAUGCGGAAGAGAUAAGUGCUGAAAGCAUCUAAGCACGAAACUUGCCCCGAGAUGAGUUCUCCCUGAGACUUUAAGUCUCCUGAAGGAACGUUAAAGACGAUGACGUUGAUAGGCCGGGUGUGUAAGCGCAGCGAUGCGUUGAGCUAACCGGUACUAAUGAACCGUGAGGCUUAACCUU
rnacentral:rRNA from 1 species